UACGGAGGGUGCGAGCGUUGUCCGGAUUUAUUGGGUUUAAAGGGUGCGUAGGCGGCCCCGCAAGUCCGUGGUGAAAGCCCCUCGCUCAACGAGGGAACUGCCAUGGAUACUACGGGGCUUGAGUCCAGGCGAGGUUGGCGGAAUGGACGGUGUAGCGGUGAAAUGCAUAGAUACCGUCCAGAACCCCGAUUGCGUAGGCAGCUGACUAGGCUGGCACUGACGCUGAGGCACGAAAGCGUGGGGAGCGAACAGG
rnacentral:misc_RNA from 1 species